ensembl:lncRNA
UUUCUAUUGGUUUUCUCUAUUGGUUUUCUAUUGGUUUUCUCUAUUGGUUUUCUCUAUUGGUUUUCUAUUGGUUUUCUCUAUUGGUUUUCUAUUGGUUUUCUCUAUUGGUUUUCUAUUGGUUUUCUCUAUUGGUUUUCUAUUGGUUUUCUCUAUUGGUUUUCUAUUGGUUUUCUGUAUUGGUUUUCUAUUGGUUUGCUAUUGGUUUUCUCUAUUGGUUUUCUAUUGGUUUUCUCUAUUGGUUUUCUCUAUUGGUUUUCUAUUGGUUUUCUCUAUUGGUUUUCUAUUGGUUUUCUAUUGGUUUUCUCUAUGGGUUUUCUCUAUUGGUUUUCUAUUGGUUUUCUCCAUUGGUUUUCUCUAUUGGUUUUCUAUUGGUUUUCUAUUGGUUUUCUCUAUUGGUUUUCUCUAUUGGUUUUCUCUAUUGGUUUUCUAUUGGUUUUCUCUAUUGGUUUUCUAUUGGUUUUCUCUAUUGGUUUUCGUACCAAGCUUAUUAUUUUCAAUACGCUCACACACACUCAAAACACACACUCAAAACACACACUCAAAACACACACUCAAAUACACAUUACAACAAAAGUGCUUUAAAUUAGAACCAUAUUGAAAGCAACAUACAUUUUUACUGAUAAUAUUCCAAAAUGAUAACCAAGAUUAUAUUGUAGCAAUGUACCCUCGCUUCCUCCUGAUAGUUAAGUACUGUAGUUUUUAAGGUGAGAGUUGUAGUUUAGGACAGGGUUAAGACUCCAGACUAAAAGCAUAGAUGUAGUUAAGUAUUGUAGUUUAGGACAGGGUUAAGACUCCAGACUAAAAGCAUAGAUGUAGUUAAGUAUUGUAGUUUAGGACAGGGUUAAGACUCCAGACUAAAAGCAUAGAUGUAGUUAAUAAUUGUAGUUUAGGACUGAGUUAAGACUCCAGACUAAAAGCAUAGAUGUAGUUUAGGACUGAGUUAAGACUCCAGACUAAAAGCAUAGAUGUAGUUAAGUAUUGUAUUAAGACUCCAGACUAAAAGCAUAGAUGUAGUUAAGUAUUGUAGUUUAGGACUGAGUUAAGACUCCAGACUAAAAGCAUAGAUGUAGUUAAGUAUUGUAGUUUAGGACUGAGUUAAGACUCCAGACUAAAAGCAUAGAUGUAGUUUAGGACUGAGUUAAGACUCCAGACUAAAAGCAUAGAUGUAGUUUAGGACUGAGUUAAGACUCCAGACUAAAAGCAUAGAUGUAGUUUAGGACUGAGUUAAGACUCCAGACUAAAAGCAUAGAUGUCUUCUUUCUUGCUUUUCCUUGUAUUAUUCUCUCAAUCAACUGAUCAACACUUCACCACGUUAAUCUCCUGCCGUCGCUCAUCUUGUUCUCCAAAUACAGUAUCUUCCCUUCCCUUCUCCUUCAUUGUUUUUCCUCCCUCCCUCCCUCCCU